AUGAUGAGGAUGACAAUUCAAAUAUCUGGAACUGGAUUGCUCAAAUAUUUUGAGUUACAAACUUCCCCACUUUGUCCUGCCUCUCAGCUAACAGCCCAAAGUUCUGCCAAGAUCUACAAGUAUGCCAUAUCACCAAAUCCAUCUGAUCACUGGUUCUCCAUCUUGGACAUAAGAAUGCCUUGGAAAACUUCUAAAAUCCAGAGAGUCCAUAUGCAAGCCCGGUUAAGACACAAAACUUUUGGGUGGAUACCAAAAAAUUCAAAAACCAAAAAAAAUUCAUGUUUUAGAAAACUUUCUCCAGUUAAUUCCAAAAUGCAGCCAAAGUUAAUAAUGACUCUACCUGUUUCUUUUCAGUCAAUAUUGUACUGAACUUCUCAGUAACUUUUGACAUCAGCUUCUUCCUCCUUCUUGGGAAACUAUUAUCUUGGUUUCUCUGACUCCAUGCUUUCCCAUUUUCCUCUUUUAUUCCAACUUCUCUGACCAUUUUGCCCCCUCAUUCAUGUGUAUCACCUUCUCUUCUAGAUUUCUAUAUUCUGCAGCUCUUCAGACUUCAGCUCUUGAGGCAGAAUCAUCAUCCUGGUUUAGUGGCUAUAAUUCUACUCUGAUGAUUCUAAAUAGCAGCAUUUAGCCCCAAAUCCCCAAAUUUAUAUCUCUAGCCUAGAUUUUUUUCUCAGCUUGUUUAUCCUCUUGGAUGCUUUACAGGCAUCUUUUCUGUGCUGUGCUUAGUCAUUCAGUCAUGUCCGACCCCAUGGACUGUAGCUAACCUCUGUCCUUGGGGAUUCUCCAGGCAAGAAUACUGAAGUGGGUUGCCACACCCUCCUUCAGGGGAUCUUCCCAACCCAGGGAUCAAACCCAGGUCUCCCACACUGCAGGUGGAUUCUUUACAAUCUGAGCCACCAGGGAAGCCCACGAAUACUGGAGUGGGUAGCCUAUCCCUUCUCCAGCAGAUCUUCCAGACCCAGGAAUCGAACUGGGGUCUCCUGCAUUGCAGGUAGAUUCUUUACCAGCUGAGCUACAUACACAGGAGGCCCCUACAGUCUUCUUUACACACUUUCAAAAUGGGACUCUUGAUCUCAGAUGUGCAUCCUUCUUAGAUGCCUUCCUCACUCUGACUAUACAAUGCAGUCUCUCCAAUUUGUACAAGCCAGAAAUCUGGGAAGUGUUCUCCAUGCUCAAACCCCAUCCACAAGUCCAAGCCUUACUCACAUCUCUUUUAGUCUGCCUCCAAAUACACUUCAAAUCCACCCUCUUCCUUAUGUAUCCACAACAAUGAAUAAAUUAGUCACUUCUUGUUGCA
rnacentral:lncRNA from 1 species